rnacentral:rRNA from 1 species
GACAGAGGUUGCAAACGUUGUUCGGAAUCACUGGGCAUAAAGCGCACGUAGGCGGCUGACUAAGUCAGAUGUGAAAUCCCUCGGCUCAACCGGGGAACUGCGUCUGAUACUGGUCGGCUUGAGAACGGUAGGGGUGAGCGGAACUCCAGGUGGAGCGGUGAAAUGCGUAGAUAUCUGGAGGAACACCGGUGGCGAAAGCGGCUCACUGGACCGUCACUGACGCUGAGGUGCGAAAGCUAGGGUAGCAAAC